UCCACGCGUCAUCCGCCCGUCAUCCAGACCGCUGCCUCUCUCUCUCUCUGUUCGAUCGUUUCGAUCCCGACGGCCGCCGGGCGCCGUCGUGCCUGCCCGCCCUUCACGCGGAGGACCUCCUCACGCAUGCUGCCGCCGCUUGCCUCCUCCUCGUGCCUGCCUGUACAGGCGCCUCCUCCUCGUGGCCGCUGCGUCUGGUGACCUCGUCGGCGGCGGCCUCUACAGGUGCCGCCGGUCCUUGCCGCGCACGGGUGCUGGCGACGCCGGGGCGCCACCUCCUCCCCUUGCCAUCCUGCGCCGGGCGUCCUCGUGGGCGCCGGCCUUACCGUGCGCGCGGUCGUGGGCGCGCCGCCGACGGCCGGCCCUUGCUGCGCUCGCGCCUUCGCUUGCAGCGCAGGACCUUGGGCUGUUGCAACGCGUAGUCCCGCUGGUCGUCCUAAGGCAUUAGAGUGUGAAUGGAGGAGAACGGGUACAUUCGCCUGGAGGAAAUUGAGGAAUAUAAAUAUGUGGCAAAUCAGACCUUUAAUAUGGAGGAAGAUUUCUUCAAGUUUUACAAUGCUUAUGCACUUCAUAAAGGAUUCAGUGUCAGAAAGGACAAGGUCAGGUACAAGCCUAGCACCAAGAAGGUGACAUGGAGGGGAUUUGUGUGCUCAUGUGAAGGAUACAGAAUGGAGAAGCAUUUUAAAAGGACGGAUCAGAAAAGACAGCCACGUGCCCUGACCCGAUGCGGAUGUAACGCCAGGCUUGAUGUGCAGAGGAGUGCAAGCAGUGGCAUAUGGUAUGUGACUGAUUUUGUGGAUGUGCAUACGCAUCCAUUUGCUAAACCAGAGCACGCUUUUGUUUUGCCGCCGCACCGAGGGCUUAAUGAUCCUCAGAAAACGGAGGCAGUCGAGCUGGGGCUUGGUGAGUUUCGUCCAUACCGGAUCAUUGGACGUAAUGGAGACCAGCCAUGAUGGUCCAGGAGAGACUGGAUUUCUUUCGCAGGAUUUGUACAAUUCUUUUUCGAGGCAGAAGAAGGGAAAGGUACAAGGGAACGACGCGGAAUUCGUGAUGAAUCAUAUGCGUCAGAUGGAAGAGAAAGAUCCAGAGUUUUUUUUAAGUAUAGUUUUGAUGUAGAAGGUAGAUUUAAGAACCUUUUCUGGUUGGAUGCACAGUCUCAGAUGGACUAUGGUGUUUUUUGGAGAUGUCGUGGUAUUUGACAGCACGUAUCGUGUGAACCGGUACAAUCUUCCAUUUGUCCCUUUCACUGGAGUUAACCAUCAUCGGAGUACGGUUGUAUUCAGUUGUGGUAUAUUAUCAGAUGAGACUAUUCUAUCUUAUGUGUGGCUUCUUGAGGCAUUUUUGGAGGCGAUGCACCAACAGCAUCCAAGGUCCUUAAUUACAUAUGGUGAUGCAGCGAUGGCUAGAGCAAUUGAGAUCGUGAUGCUGCUGCAGAUCACAGAUUGUGUAGUUGGCACAUAGAGCAGAACAUGCUGAAACGAUUUCGUGGUGCUAAGCUCAGUGAUUUCAGAAAGUUCAUAUACUAUGCAAUGGAGGAAGGUGAAUUUGAUAGGCUUUGGAUAGACUUUAGAGCUACUCAUAAUAUCAAAGAAGAUAACCUGUGGGUAAAUAUGAUGUAUGAACUAAGGAGGAAGUGGGCGGCGACGUUCACAAGAGGGAGGCAUUUCUUGGGCAUGCAAAGCAAUCAGAGGAGCGAGAGUUUGAACUCGAGGCUUCACAAUCAUUUAGACCGGAAAAUGUCCCUUGUUGAUUUAGUGGAACAUUAUGAGUUCUGCAAAUCACGCAUUCGCAGGAACGAGAUUGAGCUUGACGCUAAAGCGUUGGUUUCUACACCUUUCACUAAGAUUUCUGCCGAUGAGCUUGAGAAAAGUGUUGCUCAAACCUUCACACCAAUAAUUUUUCGGAGAGUGGUCAUACAGAUUAGGAAAGGGAAUAAUUGGUCUGUUAGAGAGGUGAUAUUUGAUAAUGGAUCUUUGAGGUAUGAGGUUGCUUUGGAAGGCAAUCGCCAGCGGUUUUUCCACGUAGCCUGUACAUUUGGGUCAUCUUUGAUUGAUACUAGAUGCCAUUGCCGGAAGAUGGAGUGUGAAGGAAUUACAUGUGCACACAUUUUCUGUGUCCUGAAGUAUGCUCGUAUUGGAAGCAUUCCUCCAUGUUGUCUAUCUCUUAGGUGGACGAUGAAUCCCAACAGAGAUGCGUACCAACACGCAUGUGUGGACUGUACAAAUGGAUCAUUUCCAUGCACCUCGCAACAAGGGCAAUCGAGCUUUAUUCAAAGUUUCGAGGAGCCAACGGGAUACAGAUAGGGUAAUGAAGGUAUUAGAUGAUAUUUUAAAGGAAGGUGUGGAGGACAAUGGAACAGAAGAGGAGACGUCGUUUGGGCCUUUGCCGGCGCACUUCUCAGCGGCCAAUCGAUCUUCUGGCAACAAAGUACUCGAUCCAGUGAAGAUUGUUACGAGAGGUGCGCCGCGAUCAAACAAGAGGUGAAAGGCAAGCCAUGAAUUCUGGAGUACUAACUGAAGGUGAUGAGGAAUUUCAGUACUUCAAUUUUGGUAUUACGAAUCGUGUGUGCAGUUGUUGGUUGGUGAGGACAAGAUCAGCAGGGAUGAAGUGCGUCCAGUGCCAAAAAAACUUUUAGUAGCCUAAUAACGUUUGCACAAGUGCUCAAAAGGAUUUAUUUUUCUCUCAUCUCCAGACUAAUGAUAGUCCAAUUGUACAUACACGUAUUGUACUCAGACAACCCUCCUGACACCAAUAUAAAUAUUGCCGUCGAUGAAAGGAGUUUGUUACAUCAGAGGGACUUUUUUUUUGGAUGAACAGUCCAACGCAGCUCCUGCGUGACUUUUUUUUUAUGAACAGUCCAACGCAGCUCCUGCGUGUGCAACAGCCAGCGAUCUACUGUCGACGCCGCCGCAGCUCUAGCGUGUGCACCAUCCAUGGGGGAUCGACGCCGCCGCCGCUCCAGAAACUGCAGCACAGUCGCCAUGACGAACGGAUCAGAGGCAUCUCCUGCAGCACCCAAAACAACAAAGGAUACUUUAGGGACCCCUAUAGAUCCGAAAAAACACCAGCGCCGUUGAAUCCAAAUAAUUUUGAUCAGACUGGUGCACAUACUGAAUCACCAUGUGUAAAUCCAAACGUAGAGGUAUUGUAUGAUGGCCCAACAGAAUUUGAUCCCGAUGACGAUGAGGACCCUACUGUUGCCUAUGCAAAGAAACCAUACAUUUACCCACCUACGAUUGGAAAAAAGCCCGUAUUUAUCGCAUAAAUUUUAUUUCCUAACCAGUUAAUAUAUUGUUGCACUAUGAUGGAAUUCAUUGUCAAUAUGUAGCUUUCUUUGGCAUAUGGCAACAUCAUGAACAAAGUACAUUAUUUUGAAUCCUGGUCGCUGGAUGAGUUCAAUAAAAUUAAUAGACGUCAGGAGGAUAUAUGUGAAGAGAUAAAAGAAAUAAAUGUCACCCUGGAUACCAUUCAAAGGACGCUGUUUGACAUAAAGUGCGACACGCAGCCUUUAAUGCGGAUGGACGAGGUUGGUGUUCGGUUACAAGAUUGUAGAGUCUCCAAAGUCCUUUCAAGCACAGCUGGGAGGCCACCAAAGCCAUAUGGAGAUAAGGCGAGUAAAUUUUAUCCUGUACAACACUAAACCAAGUAAUCAUAUAUUUGAUAGGACAAAAAGGAAGUGGGGUGAUGUGACAACACACGACGUAAUGAAAGGUAAUAAGACGCGUAUUCAAGAAGCCUAUCAUGUUGUUGCAUGAUGAUAUGUUGAUGAUGUGUCCUUGUGAAUGCAGAGUUCAGCUGUUUCAUGCCGGAAUUUGACCAAGUUAUAAGGAUCAAUUCUUGCUUUGAAGAUCAAAUCAUCGUGAAAAUAAAGGAUUCUGUUCUAACCAAGAAGACGAUGGAGACAUUAACUAGAGAUUAUGGUUAUGACUCCUUCGAAAGAUGGUUAGAUGAUAACGUUUGUCAUUAUGAAUAUGUUAAUUGAUUCCUUCUAUUGUUGGAGAAAAAAAUCCUGAAUCAAUGUAUUUUCAGAUUGUGGAUGCUAGGAUACAUGAUAUGCGGGGGAAAAUCCCAAAUGACAAAAGGAGUCAUGGUAAAAUCUACCUAGAGAACACACAGAUGGCAGCAGGUUUCCAGUUCAAGCAGAGAGAGAAAUCAGGAAUAUGUGCACAGGAGACAGCCCAAAUGCGGGCAAUAGCACACAAAUAUGUCAAACACCACAUGGUACCAUUUUCAUUCAAUAUGUGUCAUUAUUUAAUCCAAUAAAUAUUUUCAUCGAAUGAAUUUUACAAAACUAUUUGCAGAUUUUCCUUCCUAUGUCUGCGCAAAACCACUGGUUCGUGUCUGUUGUCAAUUCAAAAUUAAGGCGUAUACAUGUCCUAAAUUCCCACAAACCAAAAAUUUGCAGAUAUCGUGCAAGUAGUAAGAAACAUGGUGAGGUCUUAGAAAUCCUACAUCCAUUGUGUACUAAUGUUUGCAUGCAUAGACGACUAACAUUAAAUUUUGUAGGUUGAAGGAAUGGAGUGCUAUUUUGAUCACAUUGAUGCAGACGACAAGAAGGAAUACUCAUGGUGGAUAGAUUUCAAACUAAACACUUGGGAUAUUGACAUGCUUGAGGAACCCCAACAGGAAGACCGGACAUCAUGAGGCCUAUUCAUGCUAAAGUACAUGGAGCAUUGGAAUGGCAAAAGGCUUGAAAAAGGUUUUACACAAAAUCUUAUUGAUCAGUUCAGAAAAAAGCUGGCGGCUAUACUGGU